GUUAUCCACAAUGUCAGAUAUCCCUGCAACUCAGACUCUGCUGACAGCUCCUUGGGACUUUGGCAUCUUUGUCUUCAGGCAAAGGAGAGAUGCAAGGCAGAGGAAAAUCAAGCUUUCAGGCUUUUUGGUAGAAAGCAUGGCAAGAAGUUUGACCCUGAGUUAUCCUGGGGCCAGGAAGAGACUGAGCAUCACUGUACAGGUAAGGCUGCUCCAAAGACCACAGCCUCUUUCUACAACGCUCUUGACAGAGCCCCAAAGUCAUCUCUGAACUUCCUUCACCUCUCCUCCGUGGCCCCACUGAAGGAACACACAGUAGAAAUUAGGCUUCAUCUCCUCAAUGUCUGCAAUAGCUUCACCAUUGCAAUUUGGAUGGCUCUAGUCCAAAGAACCAUGGGAGAGGAUGUCACAGAGAAAGUGGCUGAGGACUGGUGCAGGGCUUCCCUAGGAGUGCAUCUAAUUUCAUCGUUUUGUUUGGAUUUUUUUUUUUUUCUGUGCAUGAAGCUCCCUCAGACAUGCACCUUAUCACAAAGGAAGGCUCUGCAUAAUUAAUUCUCUAUAUAAUGGCCCCGCUCCAUAAUUAAUUUAUUCAUUCGCUUGCUGUAUAACUGUUUCUCUACUUAACUGACUCACUUUGGUAAUAGUUCUCUGUAUAAUUGAUUCAUACUGCUGUUGAUUCUCCCCAUUUUUAUUUAAUACCAGAAAUGAUUUGCUGUAUAACUGCUUCAUUGCUUAACUCAUUAUCUGUACAAUUGCUUGGUAUCAUAAUUGAUUCACUGCUUAACUGUCUCACAGGAUAAUGAACAGCAAGUAACAGCCAUCCACUUUUCACCUCCAUUUCCCUUCCCUACCAUAGCGGCUGCCUCCCUUCACACGGCAGCCCAAGCUGUCCUGACACCCAUUUUACUCCCCCCAGCCCACUUCAAAAUGUCACUGCUAUCACCAGUCUUAUUCUGAUGACCACAGCCCCCUUCAGCGUCCUUCCCCUUCCCCUCCCAGCAGCAUCACACACAGAUUCAGCUCCAUCUCUCCCAUGUACCCACAAUUUGGUCUCACUCCAGUUUUAACCUUCACACUCAUCCCUUUUGUCCGUCUUUCACCAGGCCACUCCUCUCCCAUCCAGUUGCUUGGAAAUUAUAUUCUGGUCCAAAAGGUCCUGCCUUGAUUUAGACAAAGGUGGUGAGUGCAUCAAUAUCUGGUACACAAGGUCAUUUGUAGGUUGGGAGGAGGGGAUAUUGGCCCAAACCGAUCCCCAUUGUAAGGCACUUGGUUCUGAUAGCUUUCAACACAGUUGGCAUUUGUCUGCUCGUUCUACAGGUACAGCACGCCUGAUGUGAACACAGCAAGAUUUAAUAUUCUAAUAUAAAUGCGAUUUCUUAUUGCUGCCUACUAUAGCACCUGAACACAUAUUAUACCUGCUUCUUCCAAGAAAUGAGAAAUUACGGCGGGGUUAUUUCUGACAAUUGGCAGAGCUUCCACGCAGUGACACUCUGCAGGGUUUCUGCAAGGAGCUCGGUGCACGACCCCAAUUUAAGACCCCCAAAGUGGCUGUUUAGCAACUUACGGGUUCAUGUCAAUUGUUUUAAACCGUGGCAGGGUCCUACGACUUUGAAUUGGAGUGGCAACGAGAGUCAGCACUAUUAGCAGUUACUGCCAUCUAUGGGUAGGAUCAUUUUAGCAUUAUUCCUCUUGGGAAGCGUUAUUGUUUCUUCGUUAUAAAUAAUAUACCUGUUCUCAUACAUAAACAGAUGUAACAUGAGAAAUCACACUCUCGUCAUUGAUUUCUCUGCUAAAAAAAAAUAAAAAAAUAAAAAUUAAUAAUAAUGUGCAAGGACUUCACUAACAUUUCCACUGAAAAGAAUGGGAAAAGAUUUUUUAACACUUAAAAUUAUGACCUGCCCCAGGCUGGGAAAACAAUGCCAUCGCUUUUUUUUUUUUUUCCUUCCUCACUAUGUUGGGUGCCUCCUUGUCUUUAAAGCCAUUGGGACAAACUCAUCCCUGAUCUAUGAGCACUGAAAUUACCCCAACUGCACAUUUACAUUUGCAUAUUAAUUUGAAUGAUGUUACAGCUAUUUUUUCUUUUAAUUACUUCAAAAUGGGAAAGCUUUCAUACACCAGUGAUUCUCUCUCUUUUCUAGCCUGGGAGUUUUUAGCUUUUCCCAUUUAGAAUUAAGAGCUGUUCAGGGCAUUCAUCACCCCUGACAGCUGCUAAUCCCCCUCAACUCUGCAGAGUCACUGCGUUAAAAUAUUUGGAGUAAGUAACAGGACCAUUCAAUUCUAUUUUGGAUUGCACCUGUGCUCCUUUCAGCUCAUUAGUCUUUCUAUGACAGUGGCUAGUUCCACACGCUUGAAGGGGAAAGUGAAAAACCUCCACAAUGGAAAAUUAAUGCAAGGGAACAGGAGCUAGUCCCUUGCAAUUGUAGGUAACUACAUCAUAAAAUCCUUUUCAUAAGCCAGCCACAUCCAUAUGAAAACUGAUUUCAGUUUUUGUUCUCUCCUGAUUCUUGUUGGGAAGCUUUUCACAAGGACAGUUUUGUUGAGUAAAAUCCUUUUAAUUUCUAAUCUACGGUUAUUCAUGGCCACUUUAUACCAUAUGUUCCUUUAUCAGUAACAUUCUUCUGCAUAAGCAGUGUUUUUUGUUUGUUUGUUUGUUUUUUCCUUUCUCUGCCUAUUUUUACACUCCUGUUCUGUUUACAGAUAGAAACAAGAUCCCCUUGCCAGUCUCUUUUCAACCUCCUGUGACAGCAAAGUCCCUUCGCUCCCCUUAACGCUCCUGUUGACACGAGGUGAUCACUGUGAAUAUGCACUCAUCCUUCCUGUACUGCAGUGACUAGUGCUGUCAUUUGAAAUGCAGCUAUACUGGAGGGGCAAUAACACUACUGAAAAUACCAUGCUUGUUAUAUCCUAGGGUUGCCUUUGCUUUCUUUGCAGCCGUCGCUGAAGUUGGAGAUACCUCACAGAGUUCGUUUCACCCUUCCCUCUAAUUUUCACCUGAACAGCUCCCACAGCACAGCAGAUAUCAUUAUUAGUCAUUAUUUUGCACUUAGCAUUACUUUGCCAUUUCCAUCACGCCACUUUUAAAAAUAAUUCCUUCUUUUGUUGUAACCUAGGAGGGGGUUGUAACUCCAUGGAUUAGUGAACACUGCAUGCCUGCGAGGGUCAACAUUUUGGGAUCCUGAGCAGUGCAACCUUCAGCACAUCUUUCAUUUGUAGCCUCUAAGGAGGAGGUAAUGACUUCCACGGGACAACACUGAGGAGGCCAAAAUGGGGAAAAUUGUCCAAGCUGAUUCCUGACAUGAAGAGAAAAGGUUGCCUGCUCUGGGAGACCUCCUGUAGGCAGCGGCUAUGACUUUGCUCCCCUUAGAGAAGUUGAAGAUGGGCACCAGCAUGGACUUGACCCUGGAUGGGCGGGCUGAAGGAGGUCAUCUAGACAACUAGGAGGUCAUCUAGACAAGACCAAGACAACCGCUUGCACUCAUACAUGCCAGGAAUUACUGCCAUGCUAACACCAGGCCCCGGGCACGCAGCAUCCACGCAGAGGCAAUGCCCUAUUAGGCAAGUUUCUGCUGUGUGCUGCGGGGGUUCAGCUGUCCUCACAAAGACACACACCAACGAUUUGAUCAGUGUAUCGAUUUAUUGCAAUCACUGAUUUGGGAUGAGGAAGCAAAGGUGCUGGAAAGUAAGCUCCCUGUGAGGGAAGUGCUGCCUGAGGAGGGACGGUGCUCGGAGCACACUUCCUCUCAUCUUAGCUCUCUGUAAAUAUCAAGUACAUUUCCUUUAAAAGCAGAACAUGCACACAAUAAGUGAUGUCUGUCUGUCUGUCUGUCUGUCUCUGUCCGUCCCCACCACCCCAAAACUCCCGCCGGAGCCGCCCGCCCGCUCCGCUUUCCUCUCCACCACCGCGCCGCCAACCACAAAGCCAACCCCCGGAUGCGGAAGCGGGUGGCGGGCCGUGGCGGAAGGGUAGGCGGCGGGGCAGGGAGCCCAGCCAUGGCUUUCCGGUAGCGGCAGCUUCCCCUCCUCCC
rnacentral:lncRNA from 1 species